CAUAUACCUAUAUAUAUUUGUGCUUAUGAAUUUAUUCAUGUCUUUCUUUCUUUAUUCAUUCAUUUAUUUGCUCAUUGAUUUAUGUUGUUUCCUCCAGGGGAAUAUAAGCUCCUUGAAGACACAAACUUUUACUUAUAUACAAUGCCUGAUGAGCAGUAAGCACUCAAUAAAUUUAAAUUGAAUUUAACUGUGUGACCUGGACAGUCUUUUUCACCCUGUCUGCCUCAGUUUCCUCUUCUGCCACAAAUGAGCUGAAGAAGGAAAUGGCCAGCCACGGCAGUAUCUUCGCCAACAAAAUCUCAAACUGGGUCACAGAGAACCCGACACGAUUGAACAACCACAAAGAAUGGCAAGGACAAGGCAACUUAUCAUUAUGAAAUGUUUAUAGCUGGCAGGACUUUAAAGCUUGUCUGGCUCACCUGGCCUAUUUUUCAGAUUAUGUUCUGUGACUGGCAGCCACACUGGGAGAAUUAUGGCAUUAAAUGGGGCUUUGGCAGUAAUGUGCUGCGGGAGACAUCAUUGAAAGCCCUGCCCUGCUUCCAGAUUUCAGAAGAACCUGGGAGCACCUGCAUGAACUGAUGCUGAGUGAAGUGAGCAGAACCAGGACAAUAUUAUACACACUUAACAGCAACAUUUUCUGAUCAUCAACUUUGAUAAACUCUACUCUUCUCAGCAAUACAGUGAUCUAAGACAAUUCUAAAGAACUCUUGAUGGAAAAUAUUACCCACAUCCAAAACUAUAGAAUCUGAGUGUAUAUGGAAGCAUACUAUUUUCACUUUGUUGUUGUUUUCUUUUUUUGUGGCUCUCUCCUUUUGUUCUCAUUC